GAUGAACGCUGGCGGCGUGCCUAAUACAUGCAAGUCGAACGCUGGAGAUCUAGCUUGCUAGAUCGAAGGAGUGGCGAACGGGUGAGUAAUACAUAAGCAACCUACCCACGAAGACUGGGAUAAUCUCUGGAAACGGGGACUAAUACCGGAUAGGUAAUCGGAAGGCAUCUUCUGAUUAUUAAAGGUUAAAAACACUGGUGGAUGGGCUUAUGGCGCAUUAGUUAGUUGGUGAGGUAACGGCCCACCAAGACGAUGAUGCGUAGCCGGCCUGAGAGGGUGAACGGCCACAUUGGGACUGAGACACGGCCCAGACUCCUACGGGAGGCAGCAGUAGGGAAUUUUCGGCAAUGGGGGAAACCCUGACCGAGCAACGCCGCGUGAGUGAUGACGGCCUUCGGGUUGUAAAGCUCUGUUGUAAGGGAAGAACGGUAGAUAGAGAAUAUCUAAGUGACGGUACCUUACCAGAAAGCCACGGCUAACUACGUGCCAGCAGCCGCGGUAAUACGUAGGUGGCGAGCGUUAUCCGGAAUUAUUGGGCGUAAAGGGUGCGUAGGCGGCCUGUUAAGUAAGUGGUUAAAUUGUUGGGCUCAACCCAAUCCAGCCACUUAAACUGGCAGGCUAGAGUAUUGGAGAGGCAAGUGGAAUUCCAUGUGUAGCGGUAAAAUGCGUAGAUAUAUGGAGGAACACCAGUGGCGAAGGCGGCUUGCUAGCCAAAGACUGACGCUCAUGCACGAAAGCGUGGGGAGCAAAUAGG
rnacentral:rRNA from 1 species